rnacentral:rRNA from 1 species
GUUGGUUAAACAAGUACAAUUCAUACGGAACAUAACCAUGAGCAAGGGGUUACAAGGUCUAAAUUCAACAAGUCCCCGCAGGCUUAAGAUCUCAAAAAAGAUAAGAUGCACGUAAUCCCUUUCUUGUCCCUCUCCUCAAGAAGCGGAUCAGGAUAAGCAGGAGGGCAAAAGGAGUGCCUAAGCGAGGUACGAGCAGCAGAAGACACCAAGAGAACGCCCCGGCAGCCGCCCAGAAGAAGGCUGGUGAUGAUGGUGCCGGGGAAGAAGCUGGAAGAUGAGGCAGCGGGCCGCCAAUACGUGACGAAGGCGUCGGUGCCAUCAUACUCUGACUUGACGGCCCGCCUCCCGCCUUCUUCGUCUUCUCCGGUCCUCCAGCGCCAGCCACCAGAAGCAACGACCCCGAGAAGUUCAAGUUGCUGGCUCAAGGAGCCACCGCCAAGAGCUACCCCUCCCCGGCAAACCACUCUGCUGGGGAGAAGGCUAGGUGCAGAUGGUGCUGCUGUCGGCGUCGCCUAGGGACGGGGCGUCUGACGUCUAGUCGAACCCGUCCCCGUCACCGGUCCCCUCCUCGUCGCCGUCGCUCGAGGAGGAGCUCUCGUCAUCGGUCGAGCUCUCCGUGCAGCACCCUAACCUGUGUCCCGAGCACCCAAAGACCUUGACGGAGAGCAGGUCGCUCUCCACUAACUUGAAACAGAGAACGUGCCCCUUCAUC